rnacentral:rRNA from 1 species
UAGGGAAUCUUCCGCAAUGGACGAAAGUCUGACGGAGCAACGCCGCGUGAGUGAAGAAGGAUUUCGGUUCGUAAAACUCUGUUGUUAGGGAAGAAAAAAUGUAUAGUAACUAUAUACAAAAGAGACGGUACCUAACCAGAAAGCCACGGCUAACUACGUGCCAGCAGCCGCGGUAAUACGUAGGUGGCAAGCGUUGUCCGGAAUUAUUGGGCGUAAAGCGCGCGCAGGUGGUUUAGAAAGUCUGAUGUGAAAGCCCACGGCUCAACCGUGGAGGGUCAUUGGAAACUAAUAAACUUGAGUGCAGGAGAGAAAAGUGGAAUUCCUAGUGUAGCGGUGAAAUGCGUAGAGAUUAGGAGGAACACCGGUGGCGAAAGCGGCUUUUUGGCCUGAAACUGACACCGAGGCGCGAAAGCGUGGGGAGCAAACAGG